rnacentral:rRNA from 1 species
UACGAAGGGGGCUAGCGUUGCUCGGAAUCACUGGGCGUAAAGGGCGCGUAGGCGGGCUCUUAAGUCAGAGGUGAAAGCCCAAGGCUCAACCUUGGAAUUGCCUUUGAUACUGAGGGCCUUGAGACCGGAAGAGGUCGGCGGAACUGCGAGUGUAGAGGUGAAAUUCGUAGAUAUUCGCAAGAACACCAGUGGCGAAGGCGGCUCACUGGCCCGAUACUGACGCUGAGGCACGAAAGCGUGGGGAGCAAACAGG